GGCCAUUUAGCUUAACGGUUAAAAGCAUCGCGGCGAUUUUUGGUCCGGGUAGGGGCUCCUCAGAUUUGAGAGAACUCUAUUUGGACCGCACCUGCGAAGAGUUGAGUUCGAUUCUCAAAGUGGCCG